rnacentral:rRNA from 1 species
GUGGGGAAUAUUGGACAAUGGGCGAAAGCCUGAUCCAGCCAUGCCGCGUGUGUGAAGAAGGUCUUCGGAUUGUAAAGCACUUUAAGUUGGGAGGAAGGGCAGUAAGUUAAUACCUUGCUGUUUUGACGUUACCGACAGAAUAAGCACCGGCUAACUUCGUGCCAGCAGCCGCGGUAAUACGAAGGGUGCAAGCGUUAAUCGGAAUUACUGGGCGUAAAGCGCGCGUAGGUGGUUUUGUAAGUUGGAGGUGAAAUCCCCGGGCUCAACCUGGGAACAGCCUCCAAAACUGCAUGACUAGAGAACGGUAGAGGGUAGUGGAAUUUCCUGUGUAGCGGUGAAAUGCGUAGAUAUAGGAAGGAACACCAGUGGAGAAGGCGACUACCUGGACUGAUACUGACACUGAGGUGCGAAAGCGUGGGGAGCAAACAGGAUUAGAUACCCUAGUAGUCC